CAGGAGGUCCGGGCAGCCGCGGGUGCAAAUCCGAGGAAAGUCCGGGCUCCACGAAACAAGGGUGGCGGGUAACGCCCGCCGGGCGAAGGAUUUCGGUCCGAAGCCCAGGGAAAGUGCCACAGAGAGUAUACCGCCGAUGGCCCCUAAAGGGCACAGGCAAGGGUGAAAGGGUGCGGCAAGAGCGCACCGGGGUUCUGGCAACAGCGCCCGCAUGGCAAACCCCACCCGGAGCAAGGCCAAAUAGGGGCCUCGCGCCGUAACAGGCAGGGGCGUUUCGUCCCGAGAGGCCCGGGUUGGCUGCUUGAGCCAUGGAGCGAUCCAUGGCCUAGAUGAAUGGCUGCCCCUGCGGGGCUGGUGUGCAAGCAUACCGCUCGCAGGACAGAACCCGGCUUACAGGGCCUCCUGGCAA
rnacentral:RNase_P_RNA from 1 species